rnacentral:rRNA from 1 species
GUAGGGAAUAUUGGGCAAUGGUCGGAAGACUGACCCAGCCAUGUCGCGUGCAGGAAGACGGCCCUCUGGGUUGUAAACUGCUUUUAUCUGGGAAGAAAAAGGCCAUGCGUGGCAAAUUGCCGGUACCAGAUGAAUAAGCACCGGCUAACUCCGUGCCAGCAGCCGCGGUAAUACGGAGGGUGCGAGCGUUGUCCGGACUUAUUGGGUUUAAAGGGUGCGUAGGCGGCUGAUUAAGUCAGCGGUGAAAGACUUCGGCUUAACCGGAGCAGUGCCGUUGAUACUGGUUGGCUUGAGUGUCGGAGGGGUACAUGGAAUUGAUGGUGUAGCGGUGAAAUGCAUAGAUACCAUCAGGAACACCGAUAGCGAAGGCAUUGUACUGGCCGACAACUGACGCUGAUGCACGAAAGUGUGGGGAUCGAACAGGAUUAGAAACCCCUGUAGUCC